rnacentral:rRNA from 1 species
UACGUAGGGUGCGAGCGUUAAUCGGAAUUACUGGGCGUAAAGCGUGCGCAGGCGGUUCUGAAAGUCAGCUGUGAAAGCCCCGGGCUCAACCUGGGAAUGGCCGUUGAAACUGGCGAACUGGAGUGUGGCAGAGGGGGGUGGAAUUCCGCGUGUAGCAGUGAAAUGCGUAGAGAUGCGGAGGAACACCGAUGGCGAAGGCAGCCCCCUGGGCUGACACUGACGCUCAGGCACGAAAGCGUGGGGAGCAAACAGG